rnacentral:rRNA from 1 species
GACGAACGCUGGCGGCGUGCUUAACACAUGCAAGUCGAACGAUGAACCCGGAGCUUGCUCCGGUGGACUAGUGGCGAACGGGUGAGUAACACGUGAGUAACCUGCCCUUGACUCUGGGAUAACUGCGGGAAACUGUAGCUAAUACCGGAUACGACCCUCGGCGGCAACGCCAGGGGGUGGAAAGAAUUUCGGUCAAGGAUGGACUCGCGGCCUAUCAGCUAGUUGGUGAGGUAACGGCUCACCAAGGCGACGACGGGUAGCCGGCCUGAGAGGGUGACCGGCCACACUGGGACUGAGACACGGCCCAGACUCCUACGGGAGGCAGCAGUGGGGAAUAUUGCACAAUGGGCGCAAGCCUGAUGCAGCAACGCCGCGUGAGGGAUGACGGCCUUCGGGUUGUAAACCUCUUUUAGUAGGGAAGAAGCGAAAGUGACGGUACCUGCAGAAAAAGCACCGGCUAACUACGUGCCAGCCGCCGCAGUAAGAC